rnacentral:rRNA from 1 species
GAUUAACGCUGGCGGUGCGCCUAAUACAUGCAAGUCGAGCGUGAUCACAUGGUAAGCAAUUAUUGUGUGUGAAAGCGGCGAACGGGUGAGUAACACGUUGGAAUCUACCUUGAACUCAGGGAUAACUAACCGAAAGGUUGGCUAAUACCUGAUAGUCUCGCAAGAGUAAAGCCUUGGCGGUUCAAGAGGAGCCUGCGUUCUAUCAGCUAGUUGGUAAGGUAAUGGCUUACCAAGGCUAUGACGGAUAGCUGGUCUGAGAGGAUGAUCAGCCACAAUGGGACUGAGAUACGGCCCAUACUCCUACGGGAGGCAGCAGUAAGGAAUUUUCCGCAAUGGGCGAAAGCCUGACGGAGCGACACCGCGUGAAGGAUGAAGCUUUUCGGAGUGUAAACUUCUUUUCUGGUGGAACAAAUAUUGAGGGUACACCAGGAAUAAGCGUCGGCUAACUACGUG